UAUAUGCAUUUGUACAUUAAUAUAAACGGUUUCUCAAAGAGUGGAAUGUGCUGGGAAAAUAGAUGAAGACCGAGAGAUUGCAAAGCGCAACAAAAUUUCAUUUUUGUUCAAAAUAUUUUCUCUAUGUGUGUUGUGUGUGUUGUGUGUGUAUAUAUGUGUGUGUGUGUGUGUAUG